rnacentral:tRNA from 1 species
GGGGGUGCAGCUCAGGGGUCCAGCACCUGCUUACCAUGCAGGAGACCCUGGGUUCAAACCCCAGCACCCA